rnacentral:rRNA from 1 species
GUGGGGAAUUUGGGACAAUGGGCGCAAGCCUGAUCCAGCAAUGCCGCGUGCAGGAAGAAGGCCUUCGGGUUGUAAACUGCUUUUGUACGGAACGAAACGGUCCGGGUUAAUACCCUGGGCUAAUGACGGUACCGUAAGAAUAAGCACCGGCUAACUACGUGCCAGCAGCCGCGGUAAUACGUAGGGUGCAAGCGUUAAUCGGAAUUACUGGGCGUAAAGCGUGCGCAGGCGGUUUUGUAAGACAGGCGUGAAAUCCCCGGGCUCAACCUGGGAAUUGCGCUUGUGACUGCAAGGCUGGAGUGCGGCAGAGGGGGAUGGAAUUCCGCGUGUAGCAGUGAAAUGCGUAGAUAUGCGGAGGAACACCGAUGGCGAAGGCAAUCCCCUGGGCCUGCACUGACGCUCAUGCACGAAAGCGUGGGGAGCAAACAGGAUUAGAUACCCUUGUAGUCC